UAAUAAGGGAAUUAGAUAUUAAUUAUUCAUGACUUUUUAUCAUAUGAUAAUAAUAACACGUGCAAUAGAUGAUUCGUAAUCGAUAUCACGAUAUCUUUCUCUCUGAUAUCUUUAGACACACUUGCGUACGAAAAGCAGAUUAAACACUGCAUUUAACAGUGUAAGAUAUAAAUUACAUCGAAUCAAGAUUGACACGUUCGUAUUAUUAGAUUGUAGUUUAAAUAUAAAUACAUAAGCUUACCUGUGACAGAACACUCCUCGAUAAUAUUUCGAUGAUUAUUAUGGCGAUGAAAUGAUGCGUAAUCUAUUCUUAUGGUGGCAACAAAAUUAUUCACUGAAAUACACUUACAAACAAUCCUUAAACAAUUGAACAUGAAUAAAUAGAAAAAGACGAAUACCAAAUUUUCAAUAAUCAUCUUAAAAAAUAUGAAUAAAAAAAAAAAAGAGAGAGGACCAAGCAAUACAUAACAUGGAAGAACCAAGUGUUUACCACAGUACAGUACAGGAGAAGAUGAUAACGAGUUCGAAGACUCGAUAAUCCAUGGAAAGGGGAGGGGGGAAAGACGCUGUAUGAUGACGACCCCUGAGGGUCGAGCAUCUCGCCAUUCUUCGUUUGUCAGUCGAACUUAAUUAUCAUUGACAGAAGGGGCACGAGAGCUUCGGUGUGCUUGCUUCCGUGGAAAUCGCGCGGAAUAUUGAGGACGAGGAGGAAGGAAGGAAAUGAGCUCGAGAAAACCGAGAAGGGACUCGGACGUCCUGUUGUCCAAGUUCGGUCACAAGGAGUUGCUGUUCAAGUUCCUCGUAAUCGGUGAUUAUGGAGUCGGUGCGUCCAGGCCGUUUUAAAAAUAUUUGAAAAAUCUGCCGGGGGAACACGGUUUUCGACUCG